GCCUGUUUGGCGCAAAUACUGUACAGUUAUGGAUAUUUUUGUGUGUGUAUAUAAGGAAGAAGGCUACAACGUAAUGAAUAGAUCACAAAAAUGUUGUUCUUAGUCUUGUUAUAUGUCCCAAGACUGUCAUGGAUAUUGAGGGUGGCUCUAUACAAUUGUCAGUACAUGAUAAUCUAGAAAGCCCCUCCAACAUCCCUCAUGUAGGCUACUGUUGUCGUCACUUUUAUUUCAAGAAAUGUGUAGUCUUGUUCUGUAUCUCCUGCCCUAUCCACUACUGUUCAUAUAAUUUAAAUAUUUUUAAACCAUGGUAAUAUUUUUUGAAACAGACAUUUUAUUUCUUAGCCUUUUAUUCUACAUGUCAGUGAAAUGGACUAGAGCCUGUAUUUGCAUUGCAUACUGGGGGGGGGGUGUAUUGUAGAGCUGUCAAUGUAUUUGUUCUAUUAGUAUCUAGAUGGGAAAGCUCACAUGACAAAUUAAUGCAUACUCAUUAUUGUGUAAACUAUCAUGUUCAAUAUACAGUAUUUUAUUCUCUGCAUAUGGUUAAUAUUAGCACUGAGUGUACAAAACACUUCCUCUUUCCAUGAGACAGGCCAAGUGAAAACUAUGAUCUCUUAUUGUCACCUGUGAUGUACAGUUCAAUCAAUGUGGAGGAAACAGGUUAAAUAAGGAUUUUUAAGCCUUGAGACAAUUGAAAUAUGGAUUGGGUAUGUGUGCCAUUCAGGGGGUGAAUGGGCGAGACAAAAGAUUAACGUUUCUCUGAAUGGGGUAUGGUAGUAGGUGCCAGGCGCUCUGGUUUGUGUCAAGAACUGCACCACUGCUGGGUUUUUCAUGCUCAACAGUUUCCCGUGUGUAUCAAGAAUGAUCCCUCACCCAAAGGACAUCCAGCCAACUUGACACAACUGUUGGAACCAUUGGAGUCAACAUGGGCCAACAUCCCUGUGGAACGCUUUCAACUCCUUGUAUAGUCCAUGCCCCGACGAAUUGAGGCUGUUCUGAGGGCAAAAGGAGGCGCAACUCAAUAUUAGGAAGGUGUUCCUAAUGUUUUGUACUCUGUGUAUGAUGGCAGCUAUUUCAAUAUACAGAUGGUCACCAUGGUUUGAUCAAAGCUUUACUACGCAACCCUAUUUGUAAUGUAUUUAUGUAUAAAGGCAUCAGACAUGGACUAUAUAAAGUAGUAAUAUUUUUUUUAUGUUCCUUUAGAUUCCUCUAAUCUUCAUGUUUGAUUGAACGUUAGGGAAAGUGGUCAUUGCUCCCUUAAUGUAUUUGUAUGUGCUUGUAUAUAUUUUUUUGGUUAUUGACUUUUAUUACUUUCUCCUGUAACUGCCAUAACCUUUGUUCUAUUAAAGUUCAGUGGGCCAAUACUAUUCAAUUCACAUUAUGUAAAAUGUUGCCAUAUACUGUGAUAUGGAUUAUAUCAAAACUAUACUAUUAUUCAUAGAUUUUGUUUGUAACCAAACUAGGUGUAAUUCUCCUGAGAUGGCCUAUACGUCUGUAGAAUAUGCUUAGUUUAUGUGGUAGUGCUACUCGCAUGUGGUAGAUUUAUGCACUGUUAUUUGUCUCGGAAUGUACCCAUUUAUUUCUCAAAGC
rnacentral:lncRNA from 1 species